GAUGAACGCUAGCGGCAGGCCUAAUACAUGCAAGUCGAGCGGUAAGGCUUUCUUCGGAGAGUACACGAGCGGCGCACGGGUGCGUAACGCGUAUGCAACCUACCUCUAAGAGGGGGAUACCCCAGAGAAAUUUGGAAUAAUACCCCAUAGUUUCGGAUCACUGCAUGGUGAACCGAAUAAAGUUCCGGCGCUUAGAGAUGGGCAUGCGUGACAUUAGUUAGUUGGUGAGGUAACGGCUCACCAAGACUACGAUGUCUAGCUGGUCUGAGAGGAUGAUCAGCCACACUGGCACUGAGACACGGGCCAGACUCCUACGGGAGGCAGCAGUAGGGAAUAUUGGACAAUGGGGGCAACCCUGAUCCAGCCAUGCCGCGUGGAGGAAGACGGCCCUCUGGGUUGUAAACUCCUUUUCUGGUGGGAUAAACCUGCGCUAUACGUGCAGCUGAAGGUACACCAGGAAUAAGCACCGGCUAACUCCG
rnacentral:rRNA from 1 species